UACGUAGGUGACAAGCGUUGUCCGGAUUUACUGGGCGUAAAGAGCGCGCAGGCGGUCGAUCAAGUCGAGUGUGAAAGCCCCCGGCUCCAACUGGGGAGGGUCAUUCGAUACUGAUCGACUCGAAGGCAGGAGAGGGUAGUGGAAUUCCCGGUGUAGUGGUGAAAUGCGUAGAUAUCGGGAGGAACACCAGUGGCGAAGGCGGAGUCUCUGGACAGUUCCUGACGCUGAGGCACGAAGGCCAGGGGAGCAAACGGG
rnacentral:rRNA from 1 species